AUUGAACGCUGGCGGCAGGCCUAACACAUGCAAGUCGAACGAGUGGCGGACGGGUGACUAAUGUCUGGGAAACUGCCUGUAGGAGGGGGAUAACUACUGGAAACGGUUGCUAAUAACGCCUACCAUCAGCUGUGCCCAGAUGGGAUUAGCUAGUUGGUGGGGUAACGGCUCACCAAGGCGACGAUCCCUAGCUGGUCGGAGAGGAUGACCAGCCAGACUGGAACUGAGACACGGUCCAGACUCCUACGGGAGGCAGCAGUGGGGAAUAUUGCACAAUAGGCGCAAGCCUGAUGCAGCCAUGCCGCGUGUAUGAAGAAGGCCUUCGGGUUGUAAAGUACUUGCAGCGGGGAGGCGUUACCCGCAGAAGAAGCACCGGCUAACUCCGUGCCAGCAGCCGCGGUAAUAC
rnacentral:rRNA from 1 species